rnacentral:rRNA from 1 species
CCUACGGGGGGCAGCAGUGGGGAAUAUUGGACAAUGGGCGAAAGCCUGAUCCAGCCAUGCCGCGUGUGUGAAGAAGGCCUUCGGGUUGUAAAGCACUUUCAGUGGGGAAGAAAGCCUUGGGGCUAAUACCCUCGAGGAAGGACAUCACCCACAGAAGAAGCACCGGCUAACUCCGUGCCAGCAGCCGCGGUAAUACGGAGGGUGCGAGCGUUAAUCGGAAUUACUGGGCGUAAAGCGCGCGUAGGCGGUCUGAUAAGCCGGUUGUGAAAGCCCCGGGCUCAACCUGGGAACGGCAUCCGGAACUGUCAGGCUAGAGUGCAGGAGAGGAAGGUAGAAUUCCCGGUGUAGCGGUGAAAUGCGUAGAGAUCGGGAGGAAUACCAGUGGCGAAGGCGGCCUUCUGGACUGACACUGACGCUGAGGUGCGAAAGCGUGGGUAGCAAACAGGAUUAGAUCCCCAGUAGUC